CAUCAUGACGGACCCCACAAAUCCCUUGAGAUGACUGUCCAUCCCCAACUCGUUAGAAGCCAUGCGAACGGCAAGGUGAUGUGAAUAAUAGUAUAAAGGCUACGGUCCGAAGGGGUUUUAGCUACGGUUUAAAGCCGUAGAAAUAAAAAUGCGGAAACAACUCACCUCGCGCGUUCCUUUUUCUUCUUUCGCCUCCACUGAAAAAAAUAAAAAACUCAAAAAUUUCAUCCCCCUCCCACUCUCGUGAGAAAAAAAGCCCAAACCCUCCUUUCCCUAAACAUCUUCUUCUCUCUCUCUAUCUCCCCAACCCUCUCUCACGAAUACUCCCCUCUCACGAACCCUCUCUCGUGAAUAGUUCCCUCUCACAAACCCCUCUUCUCUCCCUAACCAUCCCCUCUCUCUCAACCUCACGAAGACUUCCCUCUCUCACACCAUAAUCCACAUCCCUGCUGCUCGAUCGUGUCUCGUUUUGUUCCUUUUUAGAAUCCUCAGAUGAUGCCUCUCAAGUAAACGAUGAUGAAAAUCCACUUAUGGGUUUCUUUGAUGACUCCAAAGAGUAUGUGUAGAAUCGCAGAGGAAUCCAUUCAUUGAUCUGCCGAGAACAUAGCACUAGCCACUGGUGCACUGUGUAUGGUUGUGAAAUGUGAGUUGCUGGUUGUCCCUGCAAGCGAAUUAACAUCUGAGUAAUGUCCAACCUGGCUCUCUAGUUCCCAAUCAAGUAAAUUUAGAACCACCUACCUCUCUAAUUCCUAGUUAGAGUGAAAGAAAAACAUCGCUACCUACCUGAGAAUAUUGUGCAUUGGACUCUGG